AAUUUUGGAAAAUGGGGGAAACCCUGAUCCAGCCAUCCCGCGUGUAUGAUGAAGGCCUUCGGGUUGUAAAGUACUUUUGGCAGAGAAGAAAAGGUAUCUUCUAAUACGAGGUACUGCUGACGGUAUCUGCAGAAUAAGCACCGGCUAACUACGUGCCAGCCUCCGCUGUAAUACGUAGGGGUCAAGCGUUCACCGGAAUUACUGGGCGUAAAGCGUGUGUAGGCGGUUCGGAAAGAAAGAUGUUAAAUCCCAGGGCUCAACCUUGGAACUGCAUUUUUAACUGCCGAGCUAGAGUAUGUCAGAGGGGGGUAGAAUUCCACGUGUAGCAGUGAAAUGCGUAGAUAUGUGGAGGAAUACCGAUGGCGAAGGCAGCCCCCUGGGAUAAUACUGACGCUCAGACACGAAAGCGUGGGGAGCAAACA
rnacentral:rRNA from 1 species